rnacentral:tRNA from 1 species
UUAAUUAUAGCUAAAAUUUAAGCAAUAUCACUGUUAAUGAUAAGAUAAGUGAAGACUUUGAUUAAG